rnacentral:rRNA from 1 species
GACAGAGGGUGCAACCGUUGCUCGGAAUUACUGGGCGUAAAGCGCGUGUAGGCGGGUCGGGAAGUCGGGCGUGAAAUCCCCAGGCUCAACCUGGGAACUGCACUCGAAACUUCCGGUCUAGAGUGGUGGAGAGGGAAGUGGAAUUCCGGGUGUAGCGGUGAAAUGCGUAGAUAUCACUUGGAACGCCAAUGGUGAAAACAGCUCGCUGGGGAUGUGCCGACGCUGAGACACGAAAGCCAGGGGAGCGAACGGG